CACGUAGGAGACUAGCGUUAUCCGGAUUUAUUGGGCGUAAAGCGCGUGCAGGCGGCUCGGAUAGUUGGAUGUGAAAGCUCCCGGCUUAACUGGGAGAGGUCGUUCAAUACUUCCGGGCUCGAGGAUGGGAGAGGGAGGUGGAAUUCCGGGUGUAGUGGUGAAAUGCGUAGAUAUCCGGAGGAACACCAGUGGCGAAAGCGACCUCCUGGCCCAUCUCUGACGCUCAGACGCGAAAGCUAGGGUAGCAAACGGG
rnacentral:rRNA from 1 species